GGGGAUGUAGCUCAGGGGUAGAGCGCCUGCUUUGCAAGCAGGAUGUCGGGGGUUCAAAUCCCUCCAUCUCCACCA
rnacentral:tRNA from 1 species